rnacentral:rRNA from 1 species
UUAAGCGACUAAGCGUACACGGUGGAUGCCCUGGCAGUCAGAGGCGAUGAAGGACGUGCUAAUCUGCGAAAAGCGUCGGUAAGGUGAUAUGAACCGUUACAGCCGGCGAUGUCCGAAUGGGGAAACCCAGUGCAAUUCGUUGCACUAUCGUUAACUGAAUACAUAGGUUAACGAGGCGAACCGGGGGAACUGAAACAUCUAAGUACCCCGAGGAAAAGAAAUCAACCGAGAUUCCCCCAGUAGCGGCGAGCGAACGGGGAGCAGCCCGGAGUCUGAAUCAGCUUGUGUGUUAGUGGAAGCGUCUGGAAAGUCGCAGGGUACAGGGUGAUACUCCCGUACACUAAAACGCACAGGUUGUGAACUCGAAGAGUAGGGCGGGACACGUGGUAUCCUGUCUGAAUAUGGGGGGACCAUCCUCCAAGGCUAAAUACUCCUGACUGACCGAUAGUGAACCAGUACCGUGAGGGAAAGGCGAAAAGAACCCCGGCGAGGGGAGUGAAAAAGAACCUGAAACCGUGUACGUACAAGCAGUAGGAGCCCACUAGUUGGGUGACUGCGUACCUUUUGUAUAAUGGGUCAGCGACUUAUAUUCUGUAGCAAGGUUAACCGUAUAGGGGAGCCGCAGGGAAACCGAGUCUUAACUGGGCGUUAAGUUGCAGGGUAUAGACCCGAAACCCGGUGAUCUAGCCAUGGGCAGGUUGAAGGUUGGGUAACACUAACUGGAGGACCGAACCGACUAAUGUUGAAAAAUUAGCGGAUGACUUGUGGCUGGGGGUGAAAGGCCAAUCAAACCGGGAGAUAGCUGGUUCUCCCCGAAAGCUAUUUAGGUAGCGCCUCGUGAAUUCAUCUUCGGGGGUAGAGCACUGUUUCGGCUAGGGGGUCAUCCCGACUUACCAACCCGAUGCAAACUACGAAUACCGAAGAAUGUUAUCACGGGAGACACACGGCGGGUGCUAACGUCCGUCGUGAAGAGGGAAACAACCCAGACCGCCAGCUAAGGUCCCAAAGUCAUGGUUAAGUGGGAAACGAUGUGGGAAGGCCCAGACAGCCAGGAUGUUGGCUUAGAAGCAGCCAUCAUUUAAAGAAAGCGUAAUAGCUCACUGGUCGAGUCGGCCUGCGCGGAAGAUGUAACGGGGCUAAACCAUGCACCGAAGCUGCGGCAGCGACACUAUGUGUUGUUGGGUAGGGGAGCGUUCUGUAAGCCGUUGAAGGUGGCCUGUGAGGGUUGCUGGAGGUAUCAGAAGUGCGAAUGCUGACAUAAGUAACGAUAAUGCGGGUGAAAAACCCGCACGCCGGAAGACCAAGGGUUCCUGUCCAACGUUAAUCGGGGCAGGGUGAGUCGACCCCUAAGGCGAGGCCGAAAGGCGUAGUCGAUGGGAAACAGGUUAAUAUUCCUGUACUCGGUGUUACUGCGAAGGGGGGACGGAGAAGGCUAUGUUGGCCGGGCGACGGUUGUCCCGGUUUAAGCAUGUAGGCGGAUGUUCCAGGUAAAUCCGGAACGUUACUAACGCUGAGGUGUGAUGACGAGGCACUACGGUGCUGAAGUGACAAAUGCCCUGCUUCCAGGAAAAGCCUCUAAGCAUCAGGUAACAUCAAAUCGUACCCCAAACCGACACAGGUGGUCAGGUAGAGAAUACCAAGGCGCUUGAGAGAACUCGGGUGAAGGAACUAGGCAAAAUGGUGCCGUAACUUCGGGAGAAGGCACGCUGAUGGUAGGUGAAGCGACUUGCUCGUGGAGCUGAAAUCAGUCGAAGAUACCAGCUGGCUGCAACUGUUUAUUAAAAACACAGCACUGUGCAAACACGAAAGUGGACGUAUACGGUGUGACGCCUGCCCGGUGCCGGAAGGUUAAUUGAUGGGGUUAUCCGUAAGGAGAAGCUCUUGAUCGAAGCCCCGGUAAACGGCGGCCGUAACUAUAACGGUCCUAAGGUAGCGAAAUUCCUUGUCGGGUAAGUUCCGACCUGCACGAAUGGCGUAAUGAUGGCCAGGCUGUCUCCACCCGAGACUCAGUGAAAUUGAACUCGCUGUGAAGAUGCAGUGUACCCGCGGCAAGACGGAAAGACCCCGUGAACCUUUACUAUAGCUUGACACUGAACACUGGUCCUUGAUGUGUAGGAUAGGUGGGAGGCUUUGAAGUGUGGACGCCAGUCUGCAUGGAGCCAUCCUUGAAAUACCACCCUUUAAUGGCUGGUGUUCUAACGUGGGCCCCUAAUCGGGGUUGCGGACAGUGUCUGGUGGGUAGUUUGACUGGGGCGGUCUCCUCCUAAAGAGUAACGGAGGAGCACGAAGGUCAGCUAAUCCUGGUCGGACAUCAGGAGGUUAGUGCAAUGGCAUAAGCUGGCUUGACUGCGAGCGUGACGGCGCGAGCAGGUGCGAAAGCAGGUCAUAGUGAUCCGGUGGUUCUGAAUGGAAGGGCCAUCGCUCAACGGAUAAAAGGUACUCCGGGGAUAACAGGCUGAUACCGCCCAAGAGUUCAUAUCGACGGCGGUGUUUGGCACCUCGAUGUCGGCUCAUCACAUCCUGGGGCUGAAGUAGGUCCCAAGGGUAUGGCUGUUCGCCAUUUAAAGUGGUACGCGAGCUGGGUUUAGAACGUCGUGAGACAGUUCGGUCCCUAUCUGCCGUGGGCGCUGGAGAAUUGAGGGGGGCUGCUCCUAGUACGAGAGGACCGGAGUGGACGCAUCACUGGUGUUCGGGUUGUCAUGCCAAUGGCAUUGCCCGGUAGCUAAAUGCGGAAGAGAUAAGUGCUGAAAGCAUCUAAGCACGAAACUUGCCCCGAGAUGAGUUCUCCCUGACCCUUUAAGGGUCCUGAAGGAACGUUGAAGACGACGACGUUGAUAGGCCGGGUGUGUAAGCGCAGCGAUGCGUUGAGCUAACCGGUACUAAUGAACCGUGAGGCUUAACCU